UAGGGAAUCUUCGGCAAUGGGGGCAACCCUGACCGAGCAACGCCGCGUGAGUGAAGAAGGUUUUCGGAUCGUAAAGCUCUGUUGUAAGUGAAGAACGAGUGUGAGAGUGGAAAGUUCACACUGUGACGGUAUCUUACCAGAAAGGGACGGCUAACUACGUGCCAGCAGCCGCGGUAAUACGUAGGUCCCGAGCGUUGUCCGGAUUUAUUGGGCGUAAAGCGAGCGCAGGCGGUUAGAUAAGUCUGAAGUUAAAGGCUGUGGCUUAACCAUAGUACGCUUUGGAAACUGUUUAACUUGAGUGCAAGAGGGGAGAGUGGAAUUCCAUGUGUAGCGGUGAAAUGCGUAGAUAUAUGGAGGAACACCGGUGGCGAAAGCGGCUCUCUGGCUUGUAACUGACGCUGAGGCUCGAAAGCGUGGGGAGCAAACAGGAUUAGAUACCCUGGUAGUCCACGCCGUAAACGAUGAGUGCUAGGUGUUAGACCCUUUCCGGGGUUUAGUGCCGCAGCUAACGCAUUAAGCACUCCGCCUGGGGAGUACGACCGCAAGGUUG
rnacentral:rRNA from 1 species